CCUACGGGAGGCAGCAGUGGGGAAUUUUGGACAAUGGGCGAAAGCCUGAUCCAGCCAUGCCGCGUGCAGGAUGAAGGCCUUCGGGUUGUAAACUGCUUUUGUACGGAACGAAAAGCCUCUUUCUAAUAAAGAGGGGUCAUGACGGUACCGUAAGAAUAAGCACCGGCUAACUACGUGCCAGCAGCCGCGGUAAUACGUAGGGUGCAAGCGUUAAUCGGAAUUACUGGGCGUAAAGCGUGCGCAGGCGGUUUUGUAAGACAGAGGUGAAAUCCCCGGGCUCAACCUGGGAACUGCCUUGUGACUGCAAGGCUGGAGUGCGGCAGAGGGGGAUGGAAUUCCGCGUGUAGCAGUGAAAUGCGUAGAUAUGCGGAGGAACACCGAUGGCGAAGGCAAUCCCCUGGGCCUGCACUGACGCUCAUGCACGAAAGCGUGGGGAGCAAACAGGAUUAGAUACCCUGGUAGUCCACGCCCUAAACGAUGUCAACUGGUUGUUGGGUCUUCACUGACUCAGUAACGAAGCUAACGCGUGAAGUUGACCGCCUGGGGAGUACGGCCGCAAGGUUGAAACUCAAAUGAAUUGACGG
rnacentral:rRNA from 1 species